GAACGCUCAGGACUGCCGCGAGAAAAGCAGAGAACCAAAUAUAGAAAAGGAAGCACGCAUCAGUAUGUUCAAGUUCAUGCUUGUCAUUGUUGUCCUCAUGCAGAGCUGCAGAGGGGAGGAUCAUAUCAUAAGAAAUGAGCUCCUAAGCUCCAUGAAGGAACUCCAAACAGAACUCGGAAGGGAACUUGGAAACUGGUCCUUUACCGGAAAUAUUAGUUUGCCAUCAACCAACAAAAUGAGAAUACGCGCAGUAAGUUACCUGAUUAACAUAACUUUUAGGAUUUUCUUUCUAAUCAGUCCUUCAGCAUAUUGAAUUUAAAUUGUAUUUAUUUAUAGUGAACAAAUUAUUUUAUUUUUCCCCACAGUGUUACUGUCGGGGUGUAUAUUCAGAGGCAAUGAACACAACUUGGCACCAGUUGAAGUCCAACAGCACAGAGAUCAACAAUCUGCUCAUUAAACUAAAGGCAAACACCAAGCUCCUUUCACGACCCCAAACGAACUGCCCCUGUCCAAUGGAUGUGAAAGAAUUCAACCCAUCAGAAGCAUUUAGCAGAUUAGACAUUUUCCUCAGGAGACUAAAUAACCAAUGCUAGAGCUCCAAUAGUCUUCAAGAUUGAACAUGGUGCAAUUGCCUCCAAAAAGUUCAGACACAAAUAACAAUAUAUCGGCUAUGUUCUAACACGAUAUUUUGUAUUUAAGACUUCAUAGCAGGUCAAUUGAAGUAAACUUUUGAUAAUAUAUCAUUUAAAAGAUUAUCAGGGCAUUUAUUUAUGAAUUUAUUUAUUUAUUUAUAUGUAAUUUAAAUGAUUAUCAGGGAAUUUAUUUAUUGUUUAUCUAUUUAUACAUAUAUUUAUUUUGUAUUUAAGUGACUUCACAAUGUUAUAAUUUGUUGGACAGUAUUACAAUACAUGGAUGUCAUCCACUGAAAUGUGAACAUUAAAAUAAAAUGAUUUGCAAAUA